UACGUAGGGUGCGAGCGUUAAUCGGAUUUACUGGGCGUAAAGCGUGCGCAGGCGGCCCGUUACGACAGAUGUGAAAUCCCUGGGCUCAACCUAGGAAUUGCGCUUGUGACUGGCGGGCUCGAGUACGGUAGAGGGGGGUGGAAUUCCUGGUGUAGCAGUGAAAUGCGUAGAGAUCAGGAGGAACACCGAUGGCGAAGGCAGCCCCCUGGGCCUGUACUGACGCUCAUGCACGAAAGCGUGGGGAGCAAACAGG
rnacentral:rRNA from 1 species